UACGUAGGGGGCAAGCGUUGUCCGGAUUUAUUGGGCGUAAAGAGCGUGUAGGCGGCCAUGUAGGUCCGUUGUGAAAACUCGAGGCUCAACCUCGAGACGCCGAUGGAAACCAUGUGGCUAGAGUCCGGAAGAGGAGAGUGGAAUUCCUGGUGUAGCGGUGAAAUGCGCAGAUAUCAGGAAGAACACCCGUGGCUAAGGCGGUUCUCUGGGACGGUACUGACGCUGAGACGCGAAAGCGUGGGGAGCGAACAGG
rnacentral:rRNA from 1 species